rnacentral:rRNA from 1 species
UAGGGAAUCUUCGGCAAUGGACGAAAGUCUGACCGAGCAACGCCGCGUGAGUGAAGAAGGUUUUCGGAUCGUAAAACUCUGUUGUUAGAGAAGAACAAGGACGUUAGUAACUGAACGUCCCCUGACGGUAUCUAACCAGAAAGCCACGGCUAACUACGUGCCAGCAGCCGCGGUAAUACGUAGGUGGCCAGCGUUGUCCGGAUUUAUUGGGCGUAAAGCGAGCGCAGGCGGUUUCUUAAGUCUGAUGUGAAAGCCCCCGGCUCAACCGGGGAGGGUCAUUGGAAACUGGGAGACUUGAGUGCAGAAGAGGAGAGUGGAAUUCCAUGUGUAGCGGUGAAAUGCGUAGAUAUAAGGAGGAACACCAGUGGCGAAGGCGGCUCUCUGGUCUGUAACUGACGCUGAGGCUAGAAAGCGUGGGGAGCAAACAGG